GGGGCCGUAGUUCAGUUGGGAGAACGUUUGACUGGCAGUCAAAAGGUCACGGGUUCGAGUCCCGUCGGCUCCA
rnacentral:tRNA from 1 species